rnacentral:rRNA from 1 species
GGUUAUUAGAGAGAAUUAAUAAUCUCACCUGCCCUAUGCUUAAGUAAAUGGCUGCAGUAUAUUGACUGUACUAAGGUAGCAUAAUCAAUAGUUUUUUAAUUGAAGACUGGUAUGAAAGGUUGAUACCGUGGGGAAAGUUUUAUUGAUUGAAUUUGAAUUUAAAUUAGAAGUAAAAAUGCUUCUAUUAACCCUUGGGACGAGAAGACCCUAGAAGCUUUGAUGUAUAUACAUUUUAGUUGGGGUGAUUAACGAAGAAAAGGAUCUUUGUUUUUAAAAUCUUAUGAUUAUUAUAAGUUACUCUAGGGAUAACAGCGUAAUUUAGUUUAAAAGUUCUUAUUUAAAAUUAGGUUUGCGACCUCGAUGUUGAAUUAAAUGUAAGUGGGGUGAAGAAGCUUCAUGUUUAAAGUCUGUUCGACUUUUAAAUUUUUACA